AGGCGUUACGUGCUGCUUCUCCUAUCCGACCGAGAUGGCCUGUCCCCGGGUGGCGUCGGAUUGAGCCCCCGUCUGGAACUCGAGUCUAGCGCAGAAGCGUCGAAACGAGGCCAUCGCGGUACUGGGGAGAACGAGCUCUCUCGGACUUUGUCAAAAAAACGAGAAUCUGGUCGAAAAUUGCACUAAGUCUUUUGAUGUGAGAGACGGGUGAGAAGGCACACCCGCCCGGAGGCAGGCAGGCAGGACGAGCUCCCUCCCCGACCAGAGGCGAUGCGCCGUCCUGGGCAUCGUGGAAGGAGUCGGAGGGCAUAUACCAAACUGUAUGGUUCUGGGAGCUUGGGUAACUCCCAGAAGCGAGGCCGAAGACGAUGCGCCGUCCUGGGCAUCGUGGAAGGAGUCGGAGGGCAUAUACCAAACUGUAUGGUUCUGGGAGCUUGGGUAACUCCCAGAAGCGAGGCCGAAGACGAUGCGCCGUCCUGGGCAUCGUGGAAGGAGUCGGAGGGCAUAUACCAAACUGUAUGGUUCUGGGAGCUUGGGGAACUCCCAGAAGCGAGGCCGAAGACGAUGCGCCGUCCUGGGCAUCGUGGAAGGAACGGAGGGCAUAUACCAAACUGUGUGGUGGUGGUGUGCGAAACUAGAAACGGGUGAGGUGGCACCCGCCCGGAGGUGCGCAAAAAGUCGUUCCUCGAAAAAUUUUCUAAGUCCCAAAACGGAGUUGCAGGUGUAAAGAUCCAGGCGUUACGUGCUGCUUCUCCUAUCCGACCGAGAUGGCCUGUCCCCGGGUGGCGUCGGAUUGAGCCGCCGUCUGGAACUCGAGUCUAGCGCAGAAGCGUCGAAACGAGGCCAUCGCGGUACUGGGGAGAACGAGCUCUCUCGGACUUUGUCAAAAAAACGAGAAUCUGGUCGAAAAUUGCACUAAGUCUUUUGGUGUGAGAGACGGGUGAGAAGGCACACCCGCCCGGAGGCAGGCAGGCAGGACGAGCUCCCUCCCCGACCAGAGGCGAUGCGCCGUCCUGGGCAUCGUGGAAGGAGCCGUAGGGCAUAUACCAAACUGUAUGGUUCUGGGAGCUUGGGGAACUCCCAGAAGCGAGGCCGAAGACGAUGCGCCGUCCUGGGCAUCGUGGAAGGAGUCGGAGGGCAUAUACCAAACUGUAUGGUUCUGGGAGCUUGGGUAACUCCCAGAAGCGAGGCCGAAGACGAUGCGCCGUCCUGGGCAUCGUGGAAGGAGC